AACGGCAGCGCGAGGAGCUUGCUCCUUGGCGGCGAGUGGCGAACGGGUGAGUAAUGUGUAGGAAUCUACCUUAUAGCGGGGGACAACUCGGGGAAACUCGAGCUAAUACCGCAUAUUCUCUACGGAGGAAAGCAGGGGACCUUUUAGGCCUUGCACUAUAAGAUGAGCCUACAUCGGAUUAGCUUGUUGGUAGGGUAAAAGCCUACCAAGGCAACGAUCCGUAGCUGGUUUGAGAGAAUGAUCAGCCACACUGGAACUGAGACACGGUCCAGACUCCUACGGGAGGCAGCAGUGGGGAAUAUUGGACAAUGGGGGAAACCCUGAUCCAGCAAUGCCGCGUGUGUGAAGAAGGCCUUCGGGUUGUAAAGCACUUUCAGUAGAGAAGAAAGGUUUAAGGGUGAAUAACCUUUAAGCUUUGACGUAACCUACAGAAGAAGCACUGGCUAACUCUGUGCCAGCAGCCGCGGUAAUACAGAGAGUGCAAGCGUUAAUCGGAAUUACUGGGCGUAAAGCGCACGUAGGUGGGUAUUUAAGUCGGAUGUGAAAUCCCCAAGCUUAACUUGGGAACUGCAUUCGAUACUGAGUACCUAGAGUAUAGUAGAGGGAAGUGGAAUUUCCGGUGUAGCGGUGAAAUGCGUAGAUAUCGGAAAGAACACCAGUGGCGAAGGCGACUUCCUGGACUAAUACUGACACUCAGGUGCGAAAGCGUGGGGAGCAAACAGGAUUAGAGACCCUGGUAGUCCACGCCGUAAACGAUGAGAACUAGAUGUUGGCCCCGCAAUUAUUUCUGUUAUACAGAGAUAAUUGCGGGGUUAGUAUCGAAGCUAACGCGUUAAGUUCUCCGCCUGGGGAGUACGACCGCAAGGUUAAAACUCAAAGGAAUUGACGGGGGCCCGCACAAGCGGUGGAGCAUGUGGUUUAAUUCGAUGCAACGCGAAGAACCUUACCUACUCUUGACAUCCUUGGGAUUCUGCAGAGAUGCGGAAGUGCCUUCGGGAACCAAGUGACAGGUGCUGCAUGGCUGUCGUCAGCUCGUGUCGUGAGAUGUUGGGUUAAGUCCCGUAACGAGCGCAACCCUCGUCCUUAGUUACCAGCAAGUAAAGUUGGGGACUCUAAGGAGACCGCCGGUGAUAAACCGGAGGAAGGUGGGGAUGACGUCAAGUCAGCAUGGCCCUUACGAGUAGGGCUACACACGUGCUACAAUGGGCAGUACAAAGGGUUGCCAAGUCGCAAGACGGAGCUAAUCUCAUAAAACUGUUCUUAAGUCCGGAUUGGAGUCUGCAACUCGACUCCAUGAAGUCGGAAUCGCUAGUAAUCGUGAAUCAGAAUGUCGCGGUGAAUACGUUCUCGGGCCUUGUACACACCGCCCGUCACACCAUGGGAGUAGAUUGUACCAGAAGCGGGUAGACUAACCUU
rnacentral:rRNA from 1 species